rnacentral:rRNA from 1 species
CCUACGGGAGGCAGCAGUGGGGAAUAUUGGACAAUGGGGGGAACCCUGAUGCAGCGACGCCGCGUGAGUGAAGAAGUAUUUCGGUAUGUAAACUUCUAUCAGCAGGGAAGAAAAUGACGGUACCUGACUAAGAAGCCCCGGCUAACUACGUGCCAGCAGCCGCGGUAAUACGUAGGGGGCAAGCGUUAUCCGGAUUUACUGGGUGUAAAGGGAGCGUAGGCGGUUUAGCAAGUCAGAAGUGAAAGCCCGGGGCUCAACUCCGGGACUGCUUUUGAAACUGUUGAACUAGAGUGCAGGAGAGGUAAGUGGAAUUCCUAGUGUAGCGGUGAAAUGCGUAGAUAUUAGGAGGAACACCAGUGGCGAAGGCGGCUUACUGGACUGUAAAUGACGCUGAGGCUCGAAAGCGUGGGGAGCAAACAGGAUUAGAUACCCGGGUAGUC